UCCCAGACUCCUACGGGAGGCAGCAGUGGGGAAUAUUGCACAAUGGGGGGAACCCUGAUGCAGCGACGCCGCGUGGGUGAAGGAGCGUUUCGGCGCGUAAAGCCCUAUCGGCAGGGAAGAAGGAGGACGGUACCUGACUAAGAAGCCCCGGCUAACUACGUGCCAGCAGCCGCGGUAAUACGCAGGGGGCAAGCGUUAUCCGGAUUUACUGGGUGUAAAGGGGGCGCAGACGGCAGCGCAAGCCAGGAGUGAAAGCCCGGGGCCCAACCCCGGGACUGCUUUGGAAACUGAGCAGCUAGAGUGCAGGAGAGGUAAGUGGAAUUCCUAGUGUAGCGGUGAAAUGCGUAGAUAUUAGGAGGAACACCAGUGGCGAAGGCGGCUUACUGGACUGUAACUGACGUUGAGGCUCGAAAGCGUGGGGAGCGAACAGGAUUAGAUACCCGUGUAGUG
rnacentral:rRNA from 1 species